rnacentral:lncRNA from 1 species
UACAACUUAUAUACAUAUUGUAAUAAUAAUUGUAUAGUUUCUAUACACAUCCUAUAUAAUAUUUAGCUAUAGUAAUUAUUUAGAUAACAAUAUUUAUGCAGUUUAUAUACAUCCUAUGUAUAUACAUACUUUAUACAACAAUGAUACAAAUUGUAGACACAUAAUUUUGUCCAUCCGAAAGAUUAAUUUUCACCUAUUUACCUUAUUUUACCGUCCCCAACCAUGUAAUUAUUCCUCAUAAAAGAAUAAAAAUAACAGACUCCCUAAUAAAUAUUAUCCUAUCCUAACCAACUUUAUACCUCAUUCUAACAACCUACCCCACCUCACCCCACACCCUACCUUACCUCACCCCUAUACCCCUAGGCUCUCCCCUCUCUCACGGAUUCCACACUAUAGAUGCAUACACCUCACAUUUUAUCCCUUUUCCAAUAAUAUACACACCCAGAAUACACAAAGGGGCACACACAAUAACAAUUGAAGAAUAGAUACUCACUGGAAUCACACCAAAGGAGGGGCCCACGGGAAUUGACCACCUCAUAAGCACACACUCUCACAACCAUUAUAUUCUCCAUCAUAUUUUCCACAAAGGGAUUCACACAACAAUGGAGAAUAAUUACACACAGCAAUACUACACCCUCCUAAUUUUUGCACACCACUCGCACACACAGCCACACACCCAAUCAAAAAAGGGAGAGAGAGAUUAGAGAGAGAUAGACGAAGGGAGUAGCUGAGUGAUUGAGCGAGAAAAACAUAGGGGAAAAGAGAGAUCGAUUUGACCAAGGAAACUAGUGAAGAAGCAGCGAAACCAGAUCUGUUCCGGCCGUUUGUCAUUCUUUCCCAGUAAAAUUUUCGUCAGAAUCGAUUCUGGCUCGUCUAAUUGAUCCAAACAGACUCAAAAUCUCUAAAAUCUUUUCAGUUUCUUGAUUUUCAGGCAAAUCUGAUCAGAAUCUGACCCAUUUCUUUGGUUUUUUUUGUCGUCAUCUGAGAUCGCCGGAGCUCCGAUACUGCAAAACAGUAAUUCCGACUUAAGUUAGUUUCAAAAACCACCUAGAAAACAAAAGUUCCAGCCUACAAUGGUACCCCGUCGUUGGAAAGACCAUCGGUUUUGAGCAAAACGGGGUUUAGGGUCAAAACUUAUGGUUCGGAGUUCGUAUUGAGUUUAUUUAGCUGGUUUCAAGUCUGUUGGGGUUUUAUUUUUCGAUACCGGGUCGAGUUCGAUCGUUGUUGAGGUUUGGUUUUUGGAUUUUGGUCGUGGUUGUAGUCGGAAAAGCAAUUUCAAUUAAAAAGCAACAUUAAGGUUCAAUUCUCGUUCUCUGUUAAUUCCUAAUUGGUUGAUAUUUUUGCUUGUUAAAUUCAUUACGUGUGGAUUUUGUUUUGUUGAUGUUGAUAUAUUUUGGAUCACCGUGAAUGAUUGUUGAUAUUGAUUUGUUGAUUCUUUAUCGAAAUUGGUUAAUCAUGUGGUUGAAAAUUAAUCUGGGGUGAGAAUUGAAAACUUGUUAAAAUUGGUGAAUAUUGUGGUAUUUUGAUUCAUUGUUGAUGUUGAACGUCGAUAGUAUCAUGUUUUAGUCUAGAAUGAAUAGGUAAACGGUAGGUUCGGGUAGGCAAAUUUAGGCAUAACGGAUUGAUGGCAUGUUUGAAAUAUGUGUUGGAAUGGUUUUGUUUUAUCGCAUUUAAUUCAAUUGUACUCAUUUGGUCGGGGAAUACCCCGAGGUACUUAUAUCUAUUCACCGGGGAAUGCCCUGACGUAUCAUGUACGCAAAAGAAGUUCAUAAUGAAGGCCCGAGACAUCGGAUAAAGCAUUGGAGUAUAGUUUAGGAUUAGUCUGAAUAGGAUUUCUAUUUUUGUAUUGUUCUAUUUUUGGACUGUAUAAUUCGGACUGGACAUUACUUUGGUUUUUUUGGAUUUUGUUUGAGUUGCUUGUUUGUUUGUCUUGUAUGUUUAUGUGGUUUAUAUAUUUUAUAAUGUCAAAUUAACCGAUACACUCCACUAAGCGACCGUGGUCGAGCCAUGGGAUCGAGGGGUGCAUAACACCUUCCCCUCGGUCAAUAGAAUUCCUUAGCCAGAAUCUCUGUUCGCAAACCAGUUUUAAAGAGUCAAAUUAUUUUGAAAAGGAUUGUCCAAAGGUGACUUGGCACACCGGAUUAUGCCAAGUGGCGACUCUGAGUUUUAAAUGUAAACGUAAUCCUUUUUUGGAAUAAAUCUUCAUUUUGUCACUUUAAUAAUAAAAACCCUUUCGAACUUAAAAAUUCAAUCUUUUUGAGAGUUAAAAAAAUGGGUGUGACACAAAUUCUAUACAGAUCAUAUAUAUAGAAAAAUAUAUUUUAUAUAAUACUUUUUUGAUUUUCUUACACAUUAUUUACAAUAAUUAUAUAAAUUUUAUAGAUUCUAUACGAUCUUUGGCUAUAAUUAUUAUUCGGAUACGUACUUUAUACAAGAACUACACAGUCCUAUACACAUUCUAUACAUACAUAUUUUAUACAACAACUAUAUAGUUUUUGUAUUCAAUCUUUUUGAGAUUUAAAAAAAGGGGUGUGACACAAAUUCUAUACAGAUCAUAUAUAUAGAAAAAUAUAUUUUAUAUAAUACUUUUUUGAUUUUCUUACACAUUAUAUACAAUAAUUAUAUAAAUUUUAUAGAUUCUAUACGAUCUUUGGCUAUAAUUAUUAUUCGGAUACGUACUUUAUACAAGAACUACAUAGUCCUAUAC